UUAUUUGUUAAGAAGUCACAGAAAAGAUCCAGCUGUGUCUAACAUUUAUCACCUGUUACCAUGCAAUACACACUGGGCUCAAUGAGAAAAGCUUUCUUUUCAUAUUUUGAAGUAACUUUUUUCCAGAUCCCCAACAUUUUCAGAGGAGCUUCAGAAACAUAAAAGCCAGUAAGUUCAUCAGCUUCUAAGGAAUCAGCUACAGAGAUGGCAGAACUGAAUGAUGCAUAAAUAAGUGGAUCUAAAAUGGAGAUUUAUCUGAGCAGGCAUUCUCACUGCUGAGAGUAAACUAAGGAAGUAUCCAGUGAAGAUGAGCCCUGAGUUAACAUCUGCUGCCAAUCCUCCUCUUUUUGCUGAGGAAGACUGGCCCUGAGCUAACAUCCGUGCCCAUCUUCCUCUACUUUAUAUGUGAGACGCCUGCCACAGCAUGGCUUGCCAAGCGGUAACUUGUCCACACCUGGGAUCCAAACUGGCGAACUCUGGGCUGCUGAAGUGGAACAUGCAAACUUUAACUGCUGCACCACAGGCUGCCCUUAUAAAUUUUGAAAUUUGGUGGUAUUAACUCCAUUUCUGUUCUUCUUCUUCAAAGUUGUUUUGUAUAUUCUAGGUCAUCUGCAUUUCCGUAUGAAUUUUAGAAUCAAGUUCUACAGAAAGACUUCUUGGGAUUUGGAUUGGUAUUCUAUUCAGUCUGUAGAUUAAUCUCGUGAGAACUGAUGUCUUAAUAGUAUAGAGUCUUCUGACCCAAUGAAAAAGAUAUAUCUCACCUUUUAUUUAGGUCUUCUUUAAUUUCUCUAAGUAAUGACUUUUAGUUUUUGGUAUGUAGGUCUUUCACAUCUUUUGUCAGAUUUACCCCUAAGUAUAGUGUAAUUCUGAUGAUAUUGUAAAUAAUAUUGUUUUUAAAUUCCUUUUGUUCAUUGCUAGUGCACAGAAAAGUAAUUGAUUUUUUAUGUCGAUCUUAUAUCCUGAUACCUUGUUGAAGCCACUUAUUAGUUCUAGUAGCUUCUUGGUCAAUUCUAGAUUUUCUCUGUAGAUGAUCAUGCCUACUGUGAAUAAAGACAGUUUUACUUCCACCUGUUCAAAAAGCAAAAGGCUUCCUCUCCUAACAUCACCCCACCCCACUCAGGUUUCAGAGAUAAGUCCUGUUUACAAUGCUUAGUUUUAGUUCCUCUGUCAAUCACAGUAUUUAUAUGGAUCUGUAGCCCAAAUUUAAAUGGUGUCUAUUGACACUCUACAAUAAAAGAUGAAAAAAUUAUACUAUUUUCCCUUCUUUCCUCCUGUUUUUCUCUCUCUGACUCCCAUUUUUCAGAUUACAUUAUAGUUUUACACUUUCUAGAUUUAUAACAAUUAUUUCCAUUUCUGAUCAUGUGGUGAGUUAGGUAAGCUGAAUAAACCUCCUCAGCAAACACCUAAACAUUCUGGAUAAAGCAUUUUAAAGCAGCUUAUUAAAUGCAUUCCCAAGCUGGCAAGAAAGUAAAGGAAAUUCCCAAAGACCUUGAGAGGAACAAAAGCCCAAAUCAAAAAAAGUAAACCAGUGCUGAAGAGAGAAAUCUACCAUUCCUUAAUAAGCUAGAAUUUCAAUUUUAAUGGUCUCUUGGAGACUGGAGACAAAGCCUUGGACCUCAUGAGGUGAAAAGUUAUAAUCUUAAACCCCUCCACAAAGCCAAGACCUGAAGGCCACAACCCUCAAUGAAAAUGUGAGUUAGGUAGAAGAAACUGAACAGUCGUAUAAGGGAAGGACAAAGAAGACAUGGGGGACUGGAGGUCUUGGAAAAAAGAGGGUCCU
rnacentral:lncRNA from 1 species